GGACAAUAUGUUGUAUGUUCGUUAAACAGUUUAGUAAGUAGUAAUGUUCCUUUGAAUGAAGAAGUCUUCGCGGAGAGAAAUGUAAUAAUAAGAAAGAAAUUCUGACCCUAUCGACUGGCUGUAUAAUAGGAGGUAAAGGGCUACAGCGAUCGACCGUUGCGUUCGUUGUUAGGAUCAAUUUAUUCUGACCACUGUCCAAUCCGUAUCAAGUCGAAGGGUACACCCAUAAGUUCGUGGUGGGGGUUCCAAUAGGGGAAAUACUGACCCUUGUCCGAGGGUGCAUUUAUUAUGAACAGAGGGAAGAAUCCUUUCGUUAUAAGAGUAAUAAUGCUAACAGUAUAGUUUACGCACACAUGUUUAAAGAAUAUGUGUACUUAGUAGUAGGUAUACAUAAUGC